UACGUAGGGGGCAAGCGUUGUCCGGAUUUAUUGGGCGUAAAGCGCGCGUAGGCGGCCGCGCAAGUCGGAUGUGAAAACCCGGGGCUCGAACCUCGGAACUGCCUUUGAUACUGCAAAUCUCGAGUCCGGAAGAGGUGAGUGGAAUUCCUAGUGUAGAGGUGAAAUGCGCAGAUAUCGGGAGGAACACCUAUGGCGAAGGCAGCUCGCUGGGACGUUACUGACGCUGAGGCGCGAAAGCUAGGGGAGCGAACGGGAU
rnacentral:rRNA from 1 species